GUUUUAAGUGUUUAUAUUAGUUAAUUACCAAUUUCAAAACGAAACCAGGCUUGAAGGACUCUCUCCAAGGCCCUAAAUAAAAAUUAAAUAUCAUAAAAAAUGGCUGAAAUGUUGUCUAACUGUCAAAAUCAGUGAAAUCUCUUUUAUUUUCGCAAUGACCUGUAAUUCGUGAGUUGUGAUUUGUAAAGAAUAAUGUUUAUUUCGAUGAAUUAAAAUAAAAUUUCACUAUGAACGGGUUAAGUUUCAGUGAACUCUGUUGCCUGUUUUGUUGUCCGCCAUGCCCAGGGAAAAUCGCGGCUAAGUUAGCAUUCCUGCCUCCUGAACCCACGUAUGCAUUCACACCCGAUGAGACUGGAUCCAAAUUCUCGUUAACUCUUACUGAGCGUGCGGAAUGGCAAUAUUCAGAACGUGAAAAAGAAAAUAUCGAAGGCUUUUAUUCGAGAACUUCAAGAGGCAAUAGAAUAGCUUGUCUCUUUGUUCGAUGUAGCCCUAAUGCUCGGUUCACAAUAUUGUUCUCGCAUGGAAACGCUGUAGAUCUGGGACAGAUGAGUAGCUUUUAUUUAGGUUUAGGUACUAGAAUAAAUUGUAACAUAUUCAGUUAUGACUAUUCUGGUUAUGGUGUGAGUGGUGGAAAGCCCUCCGAAAAGAAUUUGUAUGCUGAUAUUGAUGCUGCAUGGCAGGCUCUACGGACUCGAUAUGGAAUCAGCCCAGAGAAUAUAAUACUGUAUGGGCAAAGUAUUGGUACAGUGCCUACAGUAGAUCUUGCAGCCCGUUAUGAAGUUGGGGCAGUUGUCCUUCAUUCACCUCUGAUGUCGGGCAUGCGUGUAGCCUUCCCUAAUACUAAGAGGACUUGGUUUUUUGAUGCAUUUCCAAGUAUUGAUAAAAUCCCCAAAGUGACCUCACCGGUUCUUGUUAUUCAUGGAACUGAAGAUGAGGUGAUAGACUUCUCUCAUGGACUCGCCAUAUAUGAACGAUGCCCACGCGCCGUAGAGCCAUUAUGGGUAGAGGGUGCUGGACAUAAUGACGUGGAGCUCUUUAACCAAUACUUAGAAAGACUGAAACGUUUCGUCUCAGUCGAAUUGCUCAACUGACAAAGACUGCCGGCCACGGGCCAGACGACUCAAGGAAGCCACCAACUUUAUUUACCAUUUAAUUCUCACCGAACUGCAACAUAAGGAGAAGAUCAAAACCCUGCAUCCACACUCAGUUCCGGAACCUCGAGUUCGGCGACAGAGAGACUCCUCUAGCUAGCGGGGGCCGGGCCCUGUCGGGCCGGCCCCGAAAAGAAUGUUAUCAGUCUGGAUGGUUCCGCGAGCCCGCGCAACCUCGACAAGAGUGCCGACAAUGACGAAGCGCGGAGUCCUCGUACCGUCGCACACAACAUUAGCAUCAACGUGACCGACGCCGACUCUCCAGCCGGCGUUCG